CGUGUAGGCGGCUAGGUAGGUGGGUUGUGAAAACUGGAGGCUCAACCUUCAGACGUCGACCCAAACCCCCUGGCUAGAGUCCGGAAGAGGAGAGUGGAAUUCCUGGUGUAGCGGUGAAAUGCGCAGAUAUCAGGAAGAACACCCGUGGCGAAGGCGGCUCUCUGGGACGGUACUGACGCUGAGACGCGAAAGCGUGGGGAGCGAACA
rnacentral:rRNA from 1 species